rnacentral:rRNA from 1 species
GAUGAACGCUAGCGGCAGGCUUAACACAUGCAAGUCGAGGGGUAACAGAGUAGCUUGCUACUGCUGACGACCGGCGCACGGGUGCGUAACGCGUAUAGAACCUACCUUUAACUGAGGGAUAGCCCAGAGAAAUUUGGAUUAAUACCUCAUAGUAUUAUUGAAUCACAUGUUUUAAUAAUUAAAGAUUUAUUGGUUAAAGAUGGCUAUGCGUCUUAUUAGCUAGUUGGUAAGGUAACGGCUUACCAAGGCAACGAUAAGUAGGGGUCCUGAGAGGGAGAUCCCCCACACUGGUACUGAGACACGGACCAGACUCCUACGGGAGGCAGCAGUGAGGAAUAUUGGACAAUGGAGGCAACUCUGAUCCAGCCAUGCCGCGUGCAGGAAGACUGCCCUAUGGGUUGUAAACUGCUUUUAUAUAGGAAGAAACAUAGUUACGAGUAACUAUUUGACGGUACUAUAAGAAUAAGGAUCGGCUAACUCCG